UCAUGGCUCAGGACGAACGCUGGCGGCGUGCUUAACACAUGCAAGUCGAACCGAUGACGGUGGUGCUUGCACCGCCUGAUUAGUGGCGAACGGGUGAGUAACACGUGAGUAACCUGCCCUCCACUUCGGGAUAACCUCGGGAAAUCGUGGCUAAUACCGGAUAUGAGCACUCAUCGCAUGGUGAGUGCUGGAAAGAUUUAUCGGUGGGGGAUGGACUCGCGGCCUAUCAGUUUGUUGGUGAGGUGAUGGCUCACCAAGACGAUGACGGGUAGCCGGCCUGAGAGGGCGACCGGCCACACUGGGACUGAGACACGGCCCAGACUCCUACGGGAGGCAGCAGUGGGGAAUAUUGCACAAUGGGCGAAAGCCUGAUGCAGCGACGCCGCGUGGGGGAUGACGGCCUUCGGGUUGUAAACCCCUUUCAGUAGGGAAGAAGCGAGAGUGACGGUACCUGCAGAAGAAGCGCCGGCUAACUACGUGCCAGCAGCCGCGGUAAUACGUAGGGCGCAAGCGUUGUCCGGAAUUAUUGGGCGUAAAGAGCUUGUAGGUGGCUUGUCGCGUCUGCCGUGAAAACCCGAGGCUCAACCUCGGGCGUGCGGUGGGUACGGGCAGGCUAGAGUGUGGUAGGGGAGACUGGAACUCCUGGUGUAGCGGUGAAAUGCGCAGAUAUCAGGAAGAACACCGAUGGCGAAGGCAGCUCUCUGGGCCAUUACUGACAGU
rnacentral:rRNA from 1 species